rnacentral:rRNA from 1 species
GACGAACGCUGGCGGCGUGCUUAACACAUGCCAGUCGAACGGAAAGGCCCUGCUUUUGUGGGGUGCUCGAGUGGCGAACGGGUGAGUAACACGUGAGUAACCUGCCCUUGACUUUGGGAUAACUUCAGGAAACUGGGGCUAAUACCGGAUAGGAGCUCCUGCUGCAUGGUGGGGGUUGGAAAGUUUCGGCGGUUGGGGAUGGACUCGCGGCUUAUCAGCUUGUUGGUGGGGUAGUGGCUUACCAAGGCUUUGACGGGUAGCCGGCCUGAGAGGGUGACCGGCCACAUUGGGGCUGAGGUACGGCCCAGACUCCUACGGGAGGCAGCAGUGGGGAAUAUUGCACAAUGGGCGGAAGCCUGAUGCAGCAACGCCGCGUGCGGGAUGACGGCCUUCGGGUUGUAAACCGCUUUCGCCUGUGACGAAGCGUGAGUGACGGUAAUGGGUAAAGAAGCACCGGCUAACUACGUG